AUGGCCAAAAGCUUGGCGCCUGCGCGGAGGCGGAGCGGCAGCAGCGUGGGCGGAGGGACUGCUUCAGAGGCUAAAGGUCCUUAGAGCGAGCAGCGGCGGUCGCGGGAGUCUUUGCUCUGUCGCCAAGAUGCCGGCUGUGUCGAAGGGGGAUGGGAUGCGGGGCCUGGCGGUCUUCAUCUCCGACAUCAGGAACUGUAAAAGCAAAGAAGCUGAGAUAAAAAGAAUAAAUAAAGAAUUGGCAAACAUUCGAUCAAAGUUUAAAGGUGAUAAAGCCCUUGAUGGUUACAGUAAGAAGAAAUAUGUCUGCAAGCUUCUUUUCAUCUUUCUCCUGGGACAUGAUAUUGACUUUGGCCACAUGGAGGCUGUGAAUCUAUUGAGUUCAAACAAAUACACAGAAAAGCAAAUUGGCUAUCUGUUCAUCUCUGUACUUGUGAAUUCAAACAGCGAGCUAAUACGUCUAAUAAACAAUGCAAUCAAGAAUGACUUGGCGAGUCGCAACCCCACUUUCAUGGGCUUAGCUUUGCACUGUAUUGCCAAUGUGGGUAGCCGAGAGAUGGCAGAAGCAUUUGCUGGAGAAAUUCCAAAGAUCCUUGUAGCUGGAGACACUAUGGAUAGUGUGAAGCAGAGUGCAGCCCUGUGUUUGCUACGGUUAUACAGAACUUCUCCUGACCUGGUUCCUAUGGGAGACUGGACUUCAAGAGUUGUGCACCUUCUUAAUGACCAGCAUCUGGGUGUAGUUACUGCUGCUACAAGUUUAAUCACCACUCUGGCACAGAAGAAUCCGGAUGAAUUUAAAACCUCAGUCUCUCUGGCUGUCUCCAGACUCAGCAGGAUUGUGACAUCUGCAUCAACUGAUCUCCAGGAUUAUACCUAUUACUUUGUCCCUGCUCCAUGGUUGUCUGUGAAGCUACUGAGACUGUUGCAGUGUUAUCCACCCCCAGAAGACCCUUCAGCACGAGGUCGUCUCACAGAAUGUCUGGAAACUAUUCUUAAUAAAGCUCAAGAACCUCCAAAAUCCAAGAAAGUACAGCAUUCAAACGCAAAGAAUGCAGUGCUAUUUGAGGCAAUUAGUUUAAUUAUCCACCAUGAUAGUGAGCCAAACCUGCUUGUUCGUGCCUGUAAUCAGUUAGGCCAGUUCUUGCAGCACCGGGAAACUAAUCUUCGUUACCUAGCACUGGAAAGCAUGUGCACGCUUGCCAGCUCUGAGUUUUCACAUGAGGCCGUGAAAACGCACAUAGAAACAGUUAUCAAUGCAUUGAAGACGGAGAGAGAUGUAAGUGUACGACAGAGAGCAGUAGAUCUCCUGUACGCCAUGUGUGACCGGAGCAAUGCUCAGCAAAUUGUUGCUGAAAUGCUGAAUUACCUGGAAACUGCUGAUUAUUCCAUUAGAGAAGAAAUUGUUCUAAAGGUUGCAAUUCUAGCUGAGAAAUAUGCUGUGGACUACACCUGGUAUGUGGAUACAAUCUUGAACUUGAUUCGGAUUGCUGGAGACUAUGUUAGUGAAGAGGUGUGGUAUCGAGUUAUUCAGAUUGUAAUUAACAGAGAUGAUGUACAAGGAUAUGCAGCAAAGACUGUCUUUGAGGCUCUUCAAGCACCAGCCUGCCAUGAGAACUUGGUAAAAGUAGGUGGUUACAUCUUGGGAGAAUUUGGAAAUCUGAUUGCUGGUGAUCCAAGAUCUAGUCCUCUGAUCCAGUUCAACCUGCUACACUCCAAGUUCCAUCUCUGUAGUGUCCCAACUCGAGCACUGCUUUUGUCUACUUAUAUCAAGUUUGUGAACUUAUUUCCUGAGAUAAAAACUACUAUUCAAGAUGUAUUGCGCAGUGAUAGCCAGCUAAAAAAUGCCGACGUUGAGCUACAGCAGAGAGCUGUUGAAUACUUGAGACUCAGUACAAUUGCAAGUACAGAUAUCUUGGCGACGGUGUUAGAAGAAAUGCCUCCAUUUCCAGAGAGGGAGUCCUCCAUUCUAGCCAAGCUCAAGAAGAAAAAAGGCCCCAACACAGUUACAGACUUGGAGGAGACAAAGAAGGAGAGAAACUCAGAUGUGAAUGGUGGCACUGAAACUACACUUGUCAAUGCUAGCACUGUGUCUACUCCAUCUCCUUCAGCAGAUCUUCUAGGACUUGGUGCAGCCUCAGUCACAAACUCUGUCCCACCCCCAGCAUCUAGUGGCAGCUUGUUGGUGGAUGUGUUCUCAGACUCUUCUGCAGCUCCUGCAUCCCUUGCUCCAGGUUCUGAAGAUAACUUUGCAAGUCCUGACCUGGCUUCAACUGAGCAGGUAGUUUCUGAGGAACCAGCUGAUGCUGUGCAUGAUGCUGAUGAGCUUUUUCACAAGUUUGUUUGCAAAAAUAAUGGAGUCCUGUUUGAGAAUCAGUUACUACAGAUUGGUCUGAAAUCUGAAUUUCGACAGAACUUGGGUCGAAUGUUCAUAUUUUAUGGUAACAAAACAUCAACACAAUUCUUAAACUUUACUCCAACGCUAAUUUGUUCAGAUGAUCUUCAGUCAAGCUUAAAUCUGCAGACUAAACCAGUUGACCCCACUGUGGAGGGGGGUGCUCAAAUGCAGCAAGUUGUAAAUAUCGAGUGCAUAUCAGACUUCAUGGAAGCACCUGUCCUGAAUAUUCAGUUCAGAUAUGGAGGAACGUUACAAAACGUUUCUGUGAAGCUGCCGAUCACAUUGAACAAAUUUUUCCAGCCAACAGAAAUGGCUUCUCAAGACUUCUUCCAAAGGUGGAAACAACUGAGCAACCCCCAACAAGAAGUGCAGAACAUCUUUAAGGCAAACCAUCCAAUGGAUACAGAAAUUACCAAGGCGAAGAUCAAAUCUCCUUUCGGGUUUCCUUUGGCAGAUCAUUGGCUUUGGCACAGCUUUAUUAGAAGAGGUAGAUCCAAACCCUGAUAAUUUUGUAGGAGCUGGUAUAAUACAUACAAAAUCAAUCCAGAUUGGAUGUCUGAUGCGUCUUGAACCCAACCUACAAGCACAGAUGUACAGAUUGACACUACGAACAAGUAAAGAAACAGUAUCCCGGAGAUUAUGUGACUUGCUGUCAGAACAAUUCUGAGCCACAAUGCAAGACAAUUUUGAUUCUCCAUCUCUCUGCCAUUGUCCUUAUCCUGCUCCAAAAACGUCUUGUAUGCCAGUGUCUGCAAAAGUAACUGCCACCACAUUCACAUCCCUGCCUUAAAAGGACCUGUCCCUUUUAUGUGAAAUAUGUAAACAUAACAUUACUUAAAUGUUUUAAAAAGCUCUUUGAAUUUCUGCUGUAAAGAGGCUGGAGUUCUUGUGUGUCUUGACCCAGUUGUGCUCUGUGUAUUCUUGCAGGUUGAUUUUAUUAAAAUUCACUCAAUUCAGAUAUGGUUAAUGCUGAACAAUUAAGAUAUUCGGUUGCUGGGAGCAUGCUGUUUUGGCACCUUUUCUAGCACUCUUCUCUAAACCAACAGAGUCCAAUGAAGUUAUGUCUGUGAGAUGGCACUGGUCAUAUCACUUCGGUAUUCUGACUGAAACCUUGCAUGGCUAAGUUCUCCAAAAGGUGUUCUGGGGGGAGUCAUUAGUAAUGUAUCCAAAGGACAAUGUUCUGUUAUGCUCUACUGAACUUCACUUCUAUUCUUUCUUUUAUUUGAAGAGGUCUGUGGGCAUUUGCCUUCUACAGAUCAUUUGGUGGAGGCACACACACAUAUUCUGACUUAUUUUAAUAGUCUCUAAUGACUUGGUUUAAAAAAACUUUGCAUUUCACUCCUUUCAUGCUUUUUUUAGAAAGUUCUGAACUACCAAAGGGUACUUACCUUGCCAAAUCGUUAAACAAGGAAACCAGGGCUAGGUUCUUGCAUAUAAGGUAUAUUCCAAACUCUAUAUGAUCUAUCUAAACAUAGCUUCACUUAAGUAGCAAAUUGUCGAAUAAAUAAUUGGGAAGUAUACUUAAGCUUGAACACGUCAUCUUAGUCUGCGCCUUGGUGCGCACACACCCCGUUCCAGUCUAUUUGUUCCUAAUGUGGAUUUCCCAUUUUAAUACCACCUUAAUAAUAUGGAUAGGCUAAAUUAUUCAUGAACAAAACUAUGCAGAUAUGAAAAAGUGUGGACUUUUGCAAAAAUGGACCUGACAUUUUCAAAACAAUUUUGAUGUUGCCUGUACAUGUUCUGUCUAGGACUUGCCUGCUCUAUGUCAUACCAUGUUGUAAUGCUGUGUAUUGCUUGGCUCGAACGAUAGCUUUCAUUAUGUGCUCAUCAUAAAAAUCCAGGCAGGCAAUUGUUUUGAAUUGGUUUAAGCAUAAUGUUAGUCACACCUCUGUAUGUGAAGGACUUCUAAGAAGUUAUAGAUCUCUACAAUUCUACAUGUAGACAGUAAAAUAAAACUCAAAUGAGCAGCAAUAAAAGGUCUGUGUAGGGCAAAUUUAAUACAAAUGUCCUUUGCUACUGGAGUGUCUCUCUGAAAACAAACUAGCUUUCUUGCGCUCAAGUUGUCUGGAAUUGUCAUAAUUAUUAAAUCUUGUAUAAAUUUAUCUCCUUUAAUUUGGGUAUCUGAUCAGAAUCUUAAGAGUUGUGUUUUGUUUUUUGGCAACCUUCUGCAAAUUGGGCCUGUUAAAUGGAAGUAAUAUGAGCUACUUGGUUAUCUGAAGUAGUAAAACUAGAAUGAUUUUGCUCCUAUCACUGGAGGGAUUCUAGAAGCUACCAUUAUGAUAGGCACACUUUGGUAUCUUGGUUACUCCCGAUUAACAGCUAUUAAAAAAUAAGAUAUUUUGCAAGUUUGCUUUGUCAUAUAGCAGACAUUGGAAUAACUACCAUUUCAUUUUUAACAUUGGUCUAUCCCUUUGGAAAUGUGGGAUUUGUGCCCUCCCUUUUAAGGCAAUCUUAAGACACUGGCUUUUGUGUACAGUAUACAGAUAGUUUUGUGAUGAAUUGUGAUUUAUCCAUAAGGAGACAGAGGGCUAAAGGGUAGAUGGCUGAAUAAUGGACUGUAUAUAUAGGUAAUUACACUUUAUACAAAAAUUUCACUUCUGAUAUGAGCCAUAUAGACAUUGUUUUGAGAGAACUAAAAAAAAAAAAAGGUUUGUCUUAAUGGGAUGAAUGACUUGAUUACCAAAGUUAUGUAUCUUUCUCCAUCUCAAGCAGAAGCAACAGUUUCUGUGGCUAAAGCAGUAUUAGUAAUCAAGGUACAGUAUUUGUAUUGUUGACAUGUGAAAAAUACCUGAACAGGAAGAUAAAAGUAUUGUGCACUUUUAGGCCUACACUCCAAUGUGUAAUGUGUAGUCAUUUCACUUGUAAAAAUAAUAAUAAUAAUCACAGCUUAUAUGGUGGAUUUUUGUUAUGACAGUGUAAAAAUUUUGAAAAUACAUAAAUCUAAUCAUGUUACCUGUAAUGGAAAAAUAAAUGACUAGAAGAUAAACUCUUAUAUCCUUUUUUACAUUCUUGUUUAAGAACUGCUAGUGUAUUCAGUGUAUACACUACUUGAUCAGUGAAAAUAUGGAAUAAUUAUUUUAAUGCUAUGGGCUUGUUCCCUGAUCAUUAUAAAGCAUUUACAGCAUGAUCUAAAUCUUCAAAAAUGACUGAAUUUUGACUUAAACUAAGUUUUUGAUUUCCUAAUGUGUAUAUUUCCUGAACAAAUAUCCAUGAAUACAGAAUCUUCUAACAAAUUAAGUACCUCAAUUUGCUAUUGACAAAACCUGUAUACAAUCCUGGGACACAACCAGAACUUCUGAUGAUGCAGCCCAUAUUCCUUUUUUUAAUAAUGCAAAAUUCUUAUUUUGUAAUUGUGUGCAAUUUGGUUUGGCUGUAUGUAUGCAGAGCAAGAUUUGUAUACUUGAAGACUAAGUGUCUAGAAGUAAGGAGUGGUAGUUACUGGGCAGAACAGUAUUUUUUCAUGGACAUUUACAUGGAGAGUACAUGUCCAUACUGCUUGGUGAUCUAUCCAUGUUUUACCCAAUAAUAAAUACAACACUUGACCAUUUGUUUCAUACGAUGCUUGUCAUCUAGCUCCAUUUUGCUUUGUUCUUUUACAUAGAUGACUAUCUAAUAAAUGUAUUAGAGGGUCAUGCGUUCAGUUUUAAAACCCAGGGAUAGGGGUGGGCGGAGCUAGCCUUUGCUAACUGAGAAAAGAGGCACGUGUUAAAGUGGCGAUUCUCUUAUAUUUAGCGGGGGGAGAGGAGCUGGCACUAUCGAACCCCAGCAUAGCAUCCUUCCUGUGGCUGUGGCUGUUUUCUACCUUUAUAGUUCCUUUAAGAUUGUGAGCCCUUUUGGGAUAGGCAACCAUCUUACUUAUUUUUUCUAUGUAAUCCACUUUGGGCAUUUUCACUGAAAAGUGAAAUAUAGUAGUAGUUAGGUCAGAUACUGUCUUUUGAACCUGAUCUACUGAAAUAAUAGGGUUUGUGUUGACUUCCCAAGUGAAAUAAAAAUAAAUGGCAUUGCCUCUACAAAAAGAAAAAUAGUGGGGUUGGUUAUGGGAGGAAAGUUAGAUGCAUGAAGCAUAUUAAGGAAAGACAGAAGAUGACUUUUCAGAGUUUUCCUCUGAGACUAUAUUAUACUACAUUAACCUGCCUAAUCCAGGUGCAUUCAUUUAUCUGGUCUAUAACUGCUUUGUGAAUUUCAUGUUGAAAAGCACUAGAUUCCAGAAUUAUACUGCAAGAACCACGUAAGAGUGUCCCUAAAUCAAUAGUUCGCUACAUAUAUUUGUUAGAUAUGUGACUGUGGAGUCUUCCACAGAAACCCUGUGGGUGACAGUACAAGGCCUGAAAGGAAACGUGCUACUGGGGAUCAAAACGCUGACAGUGACUGGGAGUUGCAGCAGGAAAUCAGGGAGGUGUCAAGGAGAAGCAGGGCUGUAAUCAUGGGUGACUUCAAUUACCCACAAAUAGACUGGGUAAAUUCACAGUCAGGUCAGGACAAAGAGGUCAGAUUCCUAGAUACACUAAAUGACUGUGCCCUAGAACAGCUGGUCUUGGAACCGACCAGAGAGAAGGCAAUCUUGGACUUAAUUCUGAGUGGCACCCAGGACUUGGUGUGUGAUGUCAGUGUUAUCGACCCUUUAGGGAACAGUGACCAUAGUGCCAUCAAAUUCAGCAUACAUGUGGGGAGAGAAUCACCAAGGAAGUCUAACACAGACAUUUUGAAUUUCAGAAGAGGAAACUUCUCUAAAAUGAGGAGUAUGGUGAAAAGGAAGCUGAAAGGGAAAAUCAGGAGAGUAACUUCACUCCAGAGUGCAUGGAGUUUACUCAAAACCACAAUACUAGAAGCCCAGUUAGAUUGUAUACCCAAAAGGAGGAAAGGUACCACUAAGUCCUGCUUCUGAUGUAUUUAAAGAAGUUUUUGUUAUUCCCUUUGAUGCUUUUAACUAAAUGUUCCUUUUCGCCUC